GACGUAGGGCGCGAGCGUUGUCCGGAUUUAUUGGGCGUAAAGAGCUCGUAGGCGCUUGUCGCGUCGUUCGUGAAAACCCGGGGCUCAACUCCGGGCUUGCGGGCGAUACGGGCAGACUUGAGGCAUGCAGGGGAGAACGGAAUUCCUGGUGUAGCGGUGGAAUGCGCAGAUAUCAGGAGGAACACCGGUGGCGAAGGCGGCCUUCUGGACAGUGACUGACGCUGAGACGCGAAAGCGUGGGGAGCAAACAGG
rnacentral:rRNA from 1 species